UCCUGAUUACAAAAGUAUGAUUUAACAUGCAUUUUAUUUGUUAUGUUUGGGUUUAGUCGGUUGUGGUUGUGGUUGUUCUUACAAUUUAGUUUUUUGAA
rnacentral:sRNA from 1 species